CAGCCAUUUUACUUUCGCUACGGUCGCACGAAGCGCGAGUCAGACUCUACGGAGUACGGAGUAGUUGCAAGCUACCGCUUGCAUUGCAGGUUUCGUCGAUUUUUCGUGCGAAGAAAGCUGUACCAUAGUAGUAAUUAGAUUUAGCGUUGAUCGAGAAAAGGAUAGAAAAUGGUUUUGGCAGAAAGAAAUUCAGAAAAUGUUAGAAAUGGACGUAGAUCGAGGGGCCCCAGCCCUAAUGGACAGACGGAAUCAUCGAGCGAAGAAGACGGAGUUCCAGCAGAAAAAAUACGUGUUGGACGGGAUUAUCAAGUUAUUGUUCCAGAAUUUGUUCCAGUUAGUGAACGAAGAUUGGAUCAAUGUCCUGACAGAGCAUUGCUCGUAUGGUCUCCUACUACCGAUAUACCAGAUCAAAAAUUGGAUGAAUAUAUUAUAUUAGCAAAGGAAAAAUAUGGGUAUAAUGGAGAACAAGCAUUAGGAAUGUUAUUUUGGCACAAGCAUAAUUUAGAACGUGCUGUAUUGGACUUAGCUAAUUUUACACCAUUCCCAGAUGAAUGGACAGUUGAGGAUAAAGUUCUUUUUGAGCAAGCUUUUCAGUUUCAUGGGAAAAGUUUCCAUCGUAUCAGACAAAUGUUACCUGAUAAAUCCAUUGCAAGUCUUGUUAAGUACUAUUACAGUUGGAAGAAAACACGAACUAGAACAUCAUUAAUGGAUAGACAAGCAAGGAAAUUGACAAGCGGUGGUAAAGAGGGAGAAAAUGGUAGUGAAAAUGGAAGUGAGUUGGGUUCCAAUACAGACAGCGAAUCAGAAGAAAAAAAAUGGACGAUCCACCGCGGAAUACGUCGUGGAAAGAACCAAGCUGUGCCAGGAAGCCAAGGCACUGACGCCAAAGCCCCAUCCGACUCGGAAAAUGCCCCUCAGGUUCAGGGCUCGUGUAGCAACUGUGGCGUUGCUUGUCAUAGUGUACGUGCGACGCCGAAAGGACAUGCGUGUCACAGCUGCUAUCUGCACUGGAGGCGAACCGGUGUAGCAAGACCAUUAAGUUCCAUGCCAGGUCGUACAAAUAAAAGAAAACCACCUCGUGGUCUAGUCGUUAAUCACGACGAUUUAGCAGCAUUGGCUGGGCAGCCCAAUCAAGCGAACAACAGUUUACAAGCGAUCGACACCGAAAUUGUUAGCUUAAAACGCCAAAUACAAUCGAACAAACAACAAGUAAGUGCAUUAAAACGUAAAACUACCGAUGGUAUCGAUGAUUUGCGACCACCAGAAGUAUCAAGUCGUAUAAAUGCCCGUUGGACAAAUGAUGAAUUGUUACUGGCCGUUCAAGGUGUUAGGAAAUACGGAAAAGAUUUUUCAGCGAUUGCUGAUGUAAUUGGAACCAAGACAGAGGCUCACUUACGAUCGUUUUUUGUAAACUAUCGACGAAGAUAUAAUUUAGAUGCAGUUCUAAAAGAAUACGAGGCUGAAAAUGGUCCGAUAUUAAUCGAUGAUGAAAAGGAAGAAAAGAUGGAUGUCGAUCAACCCAAUGAAACGGCAGAAUCAUCUCAAAAAACGAAAUCAUCUGUAGGUAUUGGUCAAGCGGCUAAAUAACAAAUGACUAUACUAUUAAAUACCAAACGUGAGAAAAACAAUUACAGGCACUUUGAAAAUCGAUAAUAUCGUGCAAAAGUACGAAAAAAUGAGAUUCCGUUAAAAAGAUUUAAUGCCACCAUCUUAGAAAAAUAAAUUUAAUUUAUGCAUCUAAAUACAGGUAUACAUAAGGGAUAUUAAAAUCCCAUUUUAACUAAUGAAAGUAAUUUAAACGCAAAAUUACUUAUUUCAAACGAAGGAAGAUUUAGAAGUUAAUGAAUUAAUGAAGAAUUGAUAAGAUUGUAAAAUAUAAAAAAAAAGUCGAUAUAGUUUGCAAUAUUAAGAAAAUUGUGUAUUGCUUGGUAACAAGUAAAAAGUUCAUAUAUUGAAAAAUUACUGACAGUUUAUAUAUAUGAAUAAUCAAGGUACCUUGUGACUGUUUCAUUAUUCUAACGAUUUUUUACCCAUGCUCAAAUAAAUAUUUAACAAUCUGUCAUUAUAAUAUUGCUAUGUUUGUAUUAGUUUCAAGUUGUGCAUGCAUUUUGUAUCAAUUUAUGACUUCGAUAUUUAAUUUUUUACAAAUUGUUUAUAAGAACUUCAAAUAAUUUAUGUUAUAAAAUUUAGAUUUAAAAAGAAUAUAAAUGAAACAAAAUUGUACAUGAAAUUAUUACUUAGUUAUAUUUUAUUUAUGUAGAUUAUUGAGAUAACUUUAAUGUUCAAAGAACUAUUAUAUAAGAUCUUGAUAUCAGGUAGAAAUUUUGUAUUUGUGCUGAUGCAUUCCUAGACAUACUAAAAAGAGCAAAAGAAAUAUAAAUUCGAAAAUUGAAAAAAAAAAGACAUUUUUCUCUUUCCUUUUCGCUUUGUUUUUCGCUAAAUUAAUAUAUAUAAUCAAUAUUCUUCCACUAUAACAAUUAUAUCACUAAAAUUUAUCGAAAAUCAGACAAUCUACAAUUCUGCAUAAAAAUAGAAGAAAGGAAAGAGAAACUUCAUACUUCUUCCAAGUUUUAAAUGGUUCAUGUCAUCGAUCAUAAAUGUCCAAAAAACUAGUGAUUUUAACUGUGGUAAAAUUUACAGCAUUAGCAAAAGUAUUAGCGAAUGAAGGUUUAAUGUUUUCAUUGGAAAGUUAUUUUACUUAAAAUAUGCAAAAUAACAAUGACUACGUUAAACCGUUCCUUGCUAAGAAAAUAAUGCUCAAAACAAAGAUAUAUUUUCGUUCAAAUUCUAACGAAAUAUAUUUAAUAUUUUAUCAAGAUACAUUACAAUGAAAAGUUGUUUUUAUUCAUUUUAUAGAAUAACAAAUUUGAGGGGUUGAAAAUCGUGCUAUACAAGAUAUAUUAAGGAGAAUAUAUUUUUGUGUCUAGCUGCUACAUACUCGAUCCAGUUAUAUACAAAGAAAUAUGGUUCCUGAUAAUUCUAUUGUGCAAAAUUAUGUAAUGUAUACACUAAACUUGACCGUAUUACAAAAUAAACGGUGCUUCUGUACUCGACAAGCAUAAGCUUUUGCACUCCUAUAAAUAGAGGAGAGCAUUUUAUUUAUAAAGAAAUAUAUAAUUUUCAUCUGAUGAAAUUCUUACGUAAAAAACAAUUUUUUUAAACAAUUUGUUGUUUAUGUAGCGUUAGAUAUUUAAACAAAUAUUCGAUACAUUAAUCUGCUUACAUUUUGAUAGUUAUAAUUUUAUUAUAAUAAACAACUCUUAACGAAUUUUUUUAAAUAACAAAUAGUAGUAAUAACAAACAAAUCAAUAACCAAUAUUAAUUUAUUUAUAUUUGUAUACCCUGUGAAACUGAUCAAGUGUAUUAUCCAGUGAAACAGAGGCUCUAUAUAUAAAAAAAUUCUUUAAUUUAAAUAAAAUGAUUACUUAUUAGAUAUUA